rnacentral:pre_miRNA from 1 species
GGGGGGAGGUCGGAUCCUGGGCUGUGUCCCCGGCGCCCUGAGCUCUCGGGCCUGCGCUGUUGGAUUCGCGCUCCCUGCCAGGCCGGGAGCCCCCU